UCUUAUGGUCGGGCGUUCGGGAGAGCCUUCGGGCUCGCCGCUUCCUUGAGUGCGGUAACGCCAAUCCUGUUCGUCCGACCACCAGA
rnacentral:antisense_RNA from 1 species